AUUACUGUUUGCUCUUUUAGAGUGAUAUUGUCACUUUGUCUUGGGGCCAGCGAUGUAGUGAGGCAUAACUGGAAUUUCUUCCUUAUAAAGUUCUGUCAGUAUUUCAGUGGCGCAUUCUCGGAAUGCAACAUUUCUUGAGCUGUAAUAUUGGAAACAACAAGAAGCCAUCAAAUGGCAAGGAACCAAAGCAGAAAGAAAAUGCUGUCAAGAAGAGAUGCCCUGAGUGCAGUUUUGGGCGAGAAGAAUCUCCAAAAUAUGUGGGUGUGAAUCUCGCCAAAGGGUCAGUUGCAUUUGGAGCACAGAUACCAGCCUGGAACCAGGUCACAUUUUAAUAAAAGUGCAC